rnacentral:lncRNA from 10 species
GCAUCAUCAGUACCAGCAAGGACACACAUACAGCCACAAAGCAAGACCUAGGAGAAAUAUUUGGUGCUCUACUCUCCUAGGGAACUGGAAGGAACCUGCUCUCUCCUGGGUAUACUUUUCUAAUUUUAGAGUGCUAAAGAAGCUCUUCUCACAGGGACCCGAGUGAAUCCUUUCUCCUUGGAACAAAGGACAAGAAAAAAAGAAAGGACUUUACCGCAGAAAUGAUGAAGAUCAUGUCUCCAAGUCUUUUCUGCCGUUGCCAGUAUUCUCUCCCAAUCUCCUGUGGGCAACUUCUUCGGGAAAACACUCAUGCAAUUUCAUAAGGACAAGCGAAAAUAUGAAGAAGCUGGAUCUUGGAACUAGGCUUUGAUCACAGAGCGGAGCUGAGAUGAAAGUCCAUCCACUCAUUCAACAAAUAAUUGAGUACUUACAAAAAUUUCUGCUGUAUGGAGCUUAUAUAGUAGUGAAUAUCAAUUCUUAUUUUAUGGAUUAUAAAACAGAACUUUUUGCAACAAUUUUACACUACCCUAGGGGUACCUAUGAGUCUUCAUGCCUCAAGUAAUUGUCCUGUCCAUGUGACUAUGGAAGCCCUGAAAUCUUUGAAACCCCAGAUGACCCAUUUCACCAGACGCUUGGACAUUCUCCGUCGAGUUUGGAUUUAUAGUGGGUACCCAGAUUUAGGUCAAGGACAUAAAAUCUGAACCACUUUAGGCACUGCUCAUAAGGAGUAAAUUCCUAGUGAAAAAGCAAUGUCCCUCAGGAAUGAUUGCUAUAGCAGGCUAAAAGGUAGAUUUAUAAAUGUUUAUAAAAAGCAGAUUGGAUUUAGCAGAGGUAGCAGUGAUGACCAGGAGCAAUAGGAGGAAAUGUUCUUAAUAGUGCUGUUUGGUGGCAUCUUCUUUUUAUACAAAGAAGUCUUGCAAGCAUUUCUACUUGAAUGACUAAUUUGGAGUAAUUUUUAGUUUCUGUAUUUUUAUUAGUUAAUAGGAUCUAGGAAUAUAAUAACCUGGUGAGAAUUUCUUCGUGAAUGGCAAUCAAAUUUGUCUUAUUCAUGAAACUCAUAAAUAAGCUAUAAUCCAGCAUUUUAUAACUAGGGAAAAUAAAACUGGGGUCCUGCUGUUUAAGAGGCUAAGGCAAUUUAACAGAACACUGGGGGAUUUAUAGUAGAUUUAUGAUGAAGAUACAUUCUAACUGGAAGCUUAAUUGUGAUUUAAAUUAUAGGUCAAGCUGAGCAAUGUGUUUUCUUUUUAGGGGGAAAUCUUUAGAGAGUUAGAGUGUGCUUGUUUAAAGAGGAAACAGACCAAAUGAGAAAACAGAUUGCAUUUUCUGUUUUUCUUUUAAAAUUUCAAGCUGCUUUAAGUCAAAUUGCCCCUGAGUUCCUGAUGAUGGCUGUGGUGAAAUUGCCUUGUUUUACUUUCUUGCCUUCUUUUCCAGAGCAGUUAUUUUACCUGAAAAUAACAAAAAGAUAUAGGCAGCAUAUCAGCCAGAAAACUAAUAUGGAAACCAGAGAUAAAGUAUACUCAACCUGCCUAGAAUUGUGACAUCCUAUAAUUUUAGGCUGAGUUGUAUAAAAUUAGCAAGUAAUAUGGAUGAAAGGGCCUUUGAAAAAUUUUUGCCACUCAUUUUGCAAAUGGGAAAAUUGAGGCUUCUAGUGGUUUUCCUAAAUUUUUUAUCUCAAGUACUUUAAGGUCUCAUGAGGAAAUAAAAUUUAUGUACAAAUAAUUUUAAUUAAAAGUAUAAAAAGUUGUUUCCCUGAAAAAUAAAACUUAAAACAGAUAACAAAAGGUUGAUUCUGUAAGGAGGAUUUCUAUUGGGAAAAGGACAGUUAGAUUUGACAGCCCAGAUGCUUACUCUCUAACAUUUCCCUACCCCUUGGCAGAAUCCUUCAAUAAUUAACACCAGGACAACCACAUAGACUUCAGCCAUGGGUGUGUCAGGGGCAUUUGAACCAGAGCAACUCCAUCUUGAAUAGGGUCUGGGCAAAGUGAGGCUGAGACCCACUGGGCUGCAUUCCCAGGAGGUUAGGCAUUCUUAGUUACAGGAUGAGAUAGGAGGUUGGCACAAGAUACAGGUCACAAAGACCUUACUGAUAAAAUAAUAUGGUACAGAAGCUGGCCAAAACCCACCAAAACCAAGAUGGUGACGAAAGUAACCUCUGGUAGUCUUCACUGCUCAUUAUGUGCUAAUUAUAAUGCAUUAGCAUGCUAAAAGACACUCCUACCAGUGCCAUGACAGUUUACAAAUGCCAUAGCAAUGUCAGGAAGUUAUACUAUAUGGUCUAAAAAGAGGAGGAACUCUCAGUUCUGGGAAUUGCCCACCUCUUUCCUGGAAAACUCAGGAAUAAUACACCCCUUGUUUAGCAUAUAAUCAAAUAACUAUAAGUAUAAUCAGUCAAGCAGCCUAUGCCACUGCUCUGUCUAUGGAGUAGCCAUUCUUCUAUUCCUUUACUUUCCUAAUAAACUUGCUUUCACUUUACUCUGUGGACUCACCCCAAAUUCUUUCUUGCAUGAGGUCCAAGAACCCUCACUUAAAGUCUUGAUCAGGACCCUUUUCUGGUAACAUCUUCCUGGUGACCACAAUGAGAUUAAACUAAGGAGACUCCCUACCCAAAAGAAAUAGAUUAGAUCACCAAUUGUAUGACUUUGGGUAAGUGAUAGGAACCAUUUUACCUGGUUAAAGGAUGGAAUUGGGUUAGAGGCCCAACUUAGGAGAGUUAGAGCCUCUCCUAAGACAGAGAGCUUAAAGGCCCCUCUUAAUAAAAGGCAAGGACGCUUGAUGGAACUUAGGUUCAAGGCCCAAACUAGGAAGGUUAGAGUCCUUCCUAAGAUUAAGGGGGUUAGAAGCUCCUCUCAGUAAAGUCCUUCUUGGUUAAAAAUGGAUUUCACAUUAUGGGAUAUUAACCAUUAUUCUCUUUGUAUUAAUCUGCCUUGCACUGUUUGCUGAUGUCUGUGGGUGACAGGAUUAGGUGUAUAUAGGAUCACUGGAUAUGGGGAGCAUUUUCUCCCUAAAGGGGAAAUUUGAGAGCUGAUGAGACAAUUGGCCACCUGAACUUUAGAUUCAGUGUUGCUGCAAUGGAUCGGUCUUGUCUGGCCUCCCUGAGCUCCUCAUUUUCCUCACCCUGCUGCAGGCAAUGCUUUUCUCCCUUUCUUUCUUUCCUUUCUCUUUUCUAUCUUUUCUGUUACUCAGGGCAACUGUCUACGGUUUCAGUUUGCCCAGAAACCACAUGUGGAAACUCCUGGUCAGAAGAUCAUUCCACACCAAUUUGAGUGGAUCAAAGAUGAAAAGGCCCAACUAGAAUCAUGUUUGAGCCUUCCCAGUUUGAUACUGGGUGCUAAGCAGAGUGGCUAAUGUCUAUGUUUUGUCACAUUUAUUUUGCUCUGGCUGGUUUGGAAGAUGUUAAUUGGGUUACCCCAUGCAAUCUCUUGGGUGACAUCUUGCAAAAUUGAGAGGCUUUUGCCUAUGGUUUCAUGAAAUGGAAAAAGGUGAUUUUCCUUUGUGUUGUGGUUUGGCCCCUAGGGCUAUGGUGCCACAAGACAGGUCACUAGGGCUGCUCAGGGAAAGGGAACCCAGAAGCCUGGCAUGCCAGCAAAAGGGUAAGAAUUUCUUACCAUUCAGACUUCUGGCCUCUCUGUGCAAACGAGUUAUAGGAAUGGUAAACAUCCCUCUUUAUUCCUGUGUAAAGUUUUAAUUAAUAGGAAAAAGAAUUUUCCCAUUAAGUUAGUCUUAAGCUGUAGUGAAUUUGCUGUACUUUGUGCUAUAAAUUUGUCUUUCCAGAUUGUUCUGUCAGAAGGAGGGUUACCUUAGGAUAGAAUACAGGCUUAAGCCCCCAUUUGGUGGUUAAUACUGAGUAUCAAAUUGAUUGGAUUGAAGGAUGCAAAGUAUUGUUCCUGGGUGUGUCUGUGAGGGUGCUGCCAAAGGAGAUUAACAUUUGAGUUGGUGGACUGGGAGAGGCUGACCCACCCUCAAUCUGGAUGGGUACCAUCUAUUCAGCUGCCAGCUUGGCUAGGAUAAAAGCAGGCAGAGAAAUGUGGAAAGACUAAACUGGCUGAGUCUUCUGGCCUCCAUGUUUCUCCCAUGCUGGAUGCUUCCUGGCCUUGAACAUCAGACUCCAAGUUCUUUAGUUUAGGAUUCUUGGACUUAAACCAAUGAUUUGCCAGUGGCUCUUGGGUCUUCAGCUACAGACUGAAGGCUGCACUAUUAGCUUCCCUACUUUUCAGGUUUUAGGACUGGGACUGGCUUCCUGGCCUCUCAGCUUGCAGAUGGCCUAUUGUGGGACUUCACCUUGUAAUCAUGUGAGACAAUUCUCCUAAUAAAUUUCCCAUUCAUUUAUUCAUCUAUCUGCUAGUUCUGUCCCUUCAGAGAACCCUGACUAAUACACCCUAUAAGACUGCUGUUCAAGACAGCCCAUCAAACUGGUCACUUACAAACUUUGCUUCAGAUCCCUGAAACAAAACAAAACAAAACAAAAACAAAACUGAAGUUCCCCUCUUGUCUUGUUUUAUGUUCUUGGGAGCUUGACCUUAUAACCAUGUGGCAGUACUUCCUCUUUGUCUCUGCCAUUCAGAGAACAGGAACUUUGGGGUUCAUAUCAUAGUUAGCCCUAAAAAUUAUAUUGAGCAGUUAAAAGGCUUUGCAAGCUCAAAAUUGGCUGCUCUAGACUCCUUCUGGGAAGGGCAAUGGAGACUGCCCAGUGCCGUAGAACAACUUCUGACUUCCUUUCUUGAAUUUUCCUUUUUCUGAGUACCUGGGAGGUUACCUUUGGUAAAGUUCAAAAGCUACAAGUAUUUGCUGUUUUGCCUGGCUAGAGUCUGAUAAUGAGAUUUUUUUUUUUUAAAAGAAUGCUAUGGUUAAAAGUCAGCUUAAUUAAAAGUGGAUAUUCAAGCUCUAACAGCCUGGGACUCCUUGGGAAAAACAGGAGGCACUACAGACCCUGUUUGAGGAAAAACCUCUGCUUUCUUCAUGAAAACCCAGAAAUUGAAAUCAGAUAGAUCCCUCUCAAAAUCUAAGGCUCUCCUCUGUUUUGCACUGUGAUGUCUGACAGUAUUGACUUUUAGGGGUAUCAGAAAUUACUUUGCAUUAUGAGAGAGCUUUGGUGUGUAAUAACUAGGUAGGAAAUAUACUUUUGGGGAUGGCUAAUGGCAGUUAUAGGGAGAUACUUGGCAUUUUGCAUGUUUGGAUUAGAGAAUCAUGUUCUUGGCCACCUAGAAAGUAUGAAAAUGUCCCCAUUCCCCACUGAGAGAUGAGACUCCUAUGGGAGAUGGGUUGAUUCCCUCUUUUUUAAAAUUUAACUUUAAGUUCUGGGAUACAUGUGCAGGAUGUGCAGGUUUGUUACAUAGGUAAGCAUAUGCCAUGGAGGUUUGCUGCACCUAUCAACCUAUCAUCUAGGUAUUAAACCCCACAUGCAUUAGCUAUUUAUCCUGAUGCCCUCCCCGACAGGCCCCAGUGUGUGUUGUUCCCCUCCCUGUAUUCAUGUGUUCUCAUUGUUCAGCUCCCACUUAUAAGUGAGAACAUGUGGUGGUUGGUUUUCUGUUCCUGUGUUAGUUUGCUGAGGAUAAUGGCUUCCAGCUUCAGCCAUGUCCCUGCAAAGGACAUUAUCUCAUUCCUGAUUCCCUCUUUUCUUUGGGGAUCCAGGAUCUAAUAUAAAAAUGAGACCCUUAAUUUUGGGGCUCUGCUUUGCCUUCCAGCUGUGCCUGCUUAUUAGGCCCUGGAAACUGCAUGCUUUCCCAGUCCUGUUCCUCCAAGGGCUCCACCCUAAAGCCAGCAAUCCAAUUAAGAAACUUAAUGGAUUGUAAGCAAAUGGAAAAUCUUCCAAGUACUGGAUUUUCUGUCUGUCUGCAUAUUUACAUGUGUUGUGUGUGUGGUGUUUAUAUAUAAAAGAGCUCUGAUUAAUUGGUUUAAAGAUAAUAGGCAAUUAAAUCAAAUAUUAUCAGAAAAAUAAAAACAAAUGCCUUUUACUUCACGUGACUUUAAUAAUCUUUAGGAAUUAGAGACAGUUUUAAAGAUUAUUGGUAAAAUAAAGACAUUUGGUCUAAAUUGCGCCAGUCAGAUUUAGGUUUGCCAAAUGCUUUAAUAUCAUAAAGUGCUUUUUUAACUUGAUAAUUGUUCAACUUACCUGCUUUGGAGCCAUUAGAUUCCAGGUAAGGCAUGGGAACAUGUGGAGUUAGCCAUGCCCCCGGCUAUGCUGAAAAAGGACCUUAUCUGGACUUAUGUCUAGUGUCUUAGGCUCCACACCUGAUAGAUAAUUAAAAUCCUUACUUACCAGAUUUUUCACCAAAAAUAAAAGUUGCUCAGUUAGCAUUGUAACGUUUAAUUGAGUCUACUGAAUAAGCAGUUUUACAUACAAGGUGUGUAAGGACAGUGACGUGUUUUUGGUAAAAAAUUAUAAGAAGGCAUGGGAAUACGGAUUUUUUUGGCCUAGUUUAGAGGCUUAAAAACUUUUUUCAAGCUAGAUAGAAAAAAGCUGAAGGUUUAAACAAGUUGUGGAAGGUUUGUGAACAAUUAAUCUUAUAAAAGAAAUUCUGUGUGUGAACAUAUUAGCUAAAAUUAAAGGAGGUAUUAUUCAGUUUUUUUCAUAAAUUGAACAUUGGAAUAAAAGCACAACAGGGUUUUCUUAGAGCAGUGAUCUACUCUUUAAGAAAAAAUUGUAAAGGGUUAUAAAAGGUUUAUGAGAAUCUUACCUUAUGAUCUAACUGAUUAAGAUUGGAUAGAUUAGUCUAUAAGGUUUUUUUUUUAAGAAUUAGGUUUGGCAUCAAUACUGCAUUAAUGCAAAGGUGAAAUUUGGCUUUCUCUGUUGAACAAGGUUUUCAUGUUAUAUUAAAAAAUACGAAAAUGUUUUUGUUUGCCUUUUAAAUAAACUAUAAGAAAAAGAAGGGAAAGGAAAGAGUCAGAUUGUUUGGAAAGCUAAGUCUUCCCUCUAUUAAGAAGUAAAAGAUGUAUUUGUGUAAAUAUGUUUUAGGUAUGUGUUCCAAAAUUAUGGGAAACUCCUAUAAUUCUGAUAUGAUUUAGUGGAUGUUAUUAAUAGUCAUAAUUAUUAUGUAAAAUUGUUGUAUGCCACAGAAGUAACCAAAAUUUUCUUGUCAAUUGUGGCUUUAAUAGUGGCUGUUCUAAGACUUUUUGUCAACCAUGGACAAUUGCUGUCUUAUUUUGAUCCCCUUCAAAAGGUGGUUUAUAAUCAGCUAUAAGACUUUGACAGGUGCUCUUGAAUGCAGGUUUCUGAUAACUUUGGAGACUGUGACAUUAUAAUAGAGGAAAAACUUUCAGAACUCUCAUGGAGGGCUGAACUGUUCAUGAAUAUCAAGCAGAACAGGCGUUAAUUGCAUGGACUGAACUAAUAGAAGCCUAAAGUAAUCUUUUUUGGCUUUUGGCUUAAAACAUUGCUGAUCCUUUGUUUUGUUUCUCAGAGCCAAGAAACUUUUCUUUUGAGCUAUUUACAACUUUUAAGAAUUGAGUAAAGUAUUGAUAUGGUUUGGCUGUGUCCCCACCCAAAUCUCAUCUUGAAUUGUAGCUCCCAUAAUCCCCAUGUGUCAUGGGAGGGACCCAUUGGGAGGCAAUUGAAUCACGGGGAUGGGUUUUUCCCGUGCUGUUCUCAUGAUAGUAAGUCUCAUGAGACCUGAUGGUUUUAUAAAGGGCAGUUCCCCUGCACAUGCUCUCUUGCCUGGCACCAUGUAAGACAUGCCUUUGCUCCUCCUUCACCUUCUGCCAUGAUUGUGAGGCCUCCCCAGCCAUGUGGGAAGGGGACUGUAAGUCCAUUAAACCUCUUUUUCUUUAUAAAUUACUCAGUCUCAGGUAUUUCUUCAUAGCAGUAUGAAAACGGACUAAUACAAUUAUACUUCUGUGAACAAAAUUUGGAGCAUAUUUGUUUCUUGCUACCUGAUUUUUCCAGAAUUUGGAAACCAUUUGUGAGUAUUCUUAACUUAUGAUAACAUAGUUAUUUGCAUAAGUGCAAUAAGAAUCUGUUUUCUUUUGUAACAGGACACAAUUGGAGAAAGUGAUUAUUUUACUAAGGCUUUGACUGGAAUGGCAUGCUUAACCUUUAGAACCAGUAAAGGCCCCUUGGGAAAACUGGCCUCAUAGCUUGUCUAUGAAGUCCCUGUACAGAGUUCUUGACCUGUGGUAUGUAAAGAAUGUAAUUUUCUGACAGACCCAGGAGCCCCAGGUUAUCUUGAGACCUCAAGAGGAGCCAACUCACAUAGGUAUUUGACAGUAAAAACCCAUGUCUGGGCUUGGCUUUAAAAAAGGUCUUAUUUGAUAUUCCUUCUAUGGAACAAAGUUGUGUUAAAACUAAUGUAAAAAGCCUAUGUGAAAAAUAAUCAUUCUUGCUGCACUUCAUAUAAAUAAUCAGGCCAAGGAUAAUAAAGCAAGUCGGUCUUACUAUCAUUUGUCUUUAGUAAAAAUGGGAGACUGGAAAGAGAAAAAUUACGUUUCUAAAACUAUUGUGCACCCUAUCAGAUUCUAGUCUCAUCAGUUAUUUUUGAGGGUUUUUUGUUGUUGUUGUUGCAAUUUGGACUUACCCUGCUUAUUCCUGUAAACCAACUAGUGAUCUCCAGCUGCAGCUCAGAAUAAACGUGAGGGAUGGGUAAUGUAAAAAUCCAGAUCAGUAUUCUACAUCUGGGUACAUAUUGGGAUCAGUUAGCAAUCCCGUAUCAGCUUGCUUCCAACAGUGGUGUAGUUCAUGGAAAGCCUUCUUAUUUAGUUUACUGGGGAUAAUUUUCCUUAUUUUGCUUUACUGUUGUGGAAUUUAUUACUAUUGCACUCUUCGUAUAGGAAUUCAGGAUAAGCUUACUGAAUGUUUUAUUGAAUUAAAUACUUAUUCAUCUUUCAGAUGCCACAUUUUGUUGGAACUCAGAGUUAUGAGUGGCCCUCGCCAUACCUACACUUUCUGACUGAGCUCCUCUCUACCCUGAAUACAAGAGACCCUAAUAGGCAGGAAUAUCAUCACCCCUCUUCAGCCUGAAGAUGUUACAGAAGAUGGAUAUUUGUCCGUUUACAACCCUUAAGAUUAAGGGUUCCCCUGUAAAAGGGAGGGGGAAAAUAUGUCAGAGAUGUUUGAACCAGAGCAACUUCGUCCUGAAUAGUGGCUCGGUAAAGUGAGGCUGACACCUAUGGACUGCAUUCCCAGGAGGUUAGGCAUUCUUAGUUACGGGAUGAAAUAGGAGUUUGGCACAAGAUGGGUCAUAAAGACCUUGCUGAUAAAAGGAUGUGGUACAGAAGCUGGCCAAAACUCACCAAAAUCAAGAUGUGAUGAAAGUGACUUCUGGUAGUCCUCACUCCUCAUUACACUAAUUAUAAUGCAUUAGCAUGCUAAAAGACACGUUCACCAGCACCAUUAUGGUUUACAAAUGCCAUGGCAAUAUCAGCAAGUUACCCUAUAUGGUCUUAAAAGGGGAGGAACCCUCAGUUCUGGGAAUUGCCCACCACUUUCCCAGGAAACUCAUGAAUAAUCCACCCUUUAUUUAGCAAAUAAUCAAGAAAUAACUAUAAGUAUAAUCAGUUGAGCAGCCCAUGCCACUGCUCUGCCUGUGGAAUAGCCACUCUUUUAUUCCUUUACUUUUUUAAUAAACUUGUUUUCACUUUAC